GCCAAAUCCAGUUUACCACCUCUCUUUGUAAAUAAAGUUUUAUUGGAACACAGCCAUGCUCAUUUGUCUGGGACUGAUUUUGCUCCACAAUGACAGAGAUAAAGAAAGUGAUUAAGGACACAAUGAAUCUUGGCACAUACGUUACAUGACUGUAGCAGACAUACAUUACAAAGGCUAGCAGACCAUCAACUGGUGUUAGCCCAUCAGUCAUCACCAUUCUCAGCUCAGCCGCCAGGAGAUGAAUGAGUUAGAUUCAACUGUCAUUGAAGCCCUUCGAUAGACAUCACCUCACUCAGAGGUCACAGCAACCCUCUGAUAGACAUCACCUCACCUAGAGGUCACAGCAACCCUCUGAGUGAAUCAUCUUCAUGGAUCAUCUCUGUCUGCUCCCCCUGGAGGGACCACUGAAAUGGAGUCGGGGGACAGGACAGGAGAAGAGCCCAGUGUGACAGGCCAUGGCUAGUUGGAGUACACCACCUGGGGAAUGUCUGGAAACAUUUCAGAUGUGCUGACGCAUCUUGCUGCCACAGAAAAAGAAAUCUGUUUCCACAAAGAGAAGCAAGAGCUGGAGACACUGGAAGUUUAUGGACUGGAGAAGGCGGCUCCGAGAAGAAGAGCAUUCUGGCGCUCAGCGAUGCUCUCCUGAGCCGCCCAGAUGUGGGCCAGAUGCUGCAAAUCUGUAGAGACACGUCGGGCUCAGUGACUUGUGCCAUGACUUUCAUCCACGUGGGCAUGGAGGAUAUUGACUGAUCUCACUCCGAUUAUUAAGAGUGACUUCAGGGCUCUGGAAACAUGGGUGUAGGAGGCUGGGACUUGAGGGGUAGUCUUGACAAUCCUCCCAGUUGAGCAGAAGGGUUUCUGGAGCUGACAGCCCUGCUCUGGGGAUACAUGUCUACUUCACAUGCCUCACCCCACACCACCCAUAGAAGAGGGCUCAGCAGGAAACACUGAGGGUACUUCAAUGGGAAGUGAUUUGCAAUUUCUGCCUUUGCAGAAAUCAUCUCUAGUGACUUUUAUCUGGUGUUAUUAAAGAUGAUUUUGAUGUGAUAUUAACUAUAGUGAUUCUUCCUAUAAUCACUUUCUCUUUAAUCAGCCUGUAUGGCCCCUUUUCUAGCUGGAAUUUCACUACACUGCUCAGCCUUCCAUUCCAUGCUUUUUAAAAAAUA